AUACCAUUACCAAAUCCAAAUUAUCUACAUCAAUUUCCAUCCCACUUCUCCAAACAAUAUCGAAUUAAUUUUCCAAUUUCCAUUCUCCAGCUCCACUCCGGUCUCUCCCAACCCAGCGCAUUAUUCCUGAAAUCUUUCAAAAUCAGCGACCGGCAACGGCCAAGCGAGUGGCGACCAACUAAGAGGAACAAACGAGACUAUGCUAUGAUAAUCAAGAUGAGGAACGAUCGACGGACGAUGAGGAGAGACGAAAUCCGACUGACGGAGACCAGGCGACGAACUGAGAGGACGACCGACCAACCGCCGACGACAAGAACAAUAUCUGACCAAGAAUCGAACAGAAAUUGGAAGAGGAAUGAAGAGAUGUUGUUGUUCCCAUUUUUGCAAACAAGCAGGUCCAUAUUAACGCUCUUUUUUAACUUUUUAAAGAUUCAUAGACAGCUUGGCAUGUAGUAUUUGUUUUUUGAACAUAAAUGAGAAUGACGACCAAUGUAUUACUGCCUUUGUUGUUGUUCUGAGAAUAAAAGGUUAAAAUGUUAUUAUUAUUGAGAGGAGACUGUUCAUUUAUGGUUCAUGUCUUGAUGUUGCUUUUUCAUAUUAUUUUUCUACAAUAAUUUCCUUUUUGUAUUUCUUCCAUUUUUCCAAUUUAUGAGUGUGGCAUAGUAUAAUGUUCUGAUGCUUUGAUAUUGGUGUUUGAAAUUGUUUAACAAACAAAAGUAUCAUGUGAGGUUCUGGUAAAUACAAAGACUUAGACCAUUGCCUGUAAAAACCGCUACCCUAAGGUGCUGAUCAGAAACCAUUAAUUUGUUUUUUUUUGGUUAAGUAUAUAUAAAACCCGCUUCUUUGUUUAAAUUUUAUCCUGUUAUAAUCACUAGAGCUCUAGCAAUCUAGCCCUUUUCAAUCAAGUUAAAAAUUCUGUUUUUGGCAUUUCAUAGAAAUCUCCCUGCAGUGAAUUAUUGAAAAUUAUUUGCAGUUAUAUUUGCAUAAUCCUUGAUGAUUAUCUUUUAACAUGAUCACUGAUGAAUGAUAGCAUUCAAAAUGUACAGCAGAGCUGAAAGAUUCAAACAUGGUCCUGUUAAGUGUACAAUAUUGAAUCAGGUGUGGGAAUUAAUUUAAAUGUGAACAUAUAAGACAUGUGAUGGUAUUCUAAUAGCAUAUGCCUAAUUUGUGACUGUGGGGAAUGUAAUUUUGAUAAUCUUGAUGUCAUUAAUCUAUUAAAUGCAGGCUCUUGUUUCAUCAUGGAAGAAGGGUGGUACAAUGUUCAUAUUUGAUACACCUUGAAACAAGUAGCAACUCCAAAGGACAAAGCAUAUAUGCAGCAGGUGAAUGAAAAUGUCCUGGCCUUAGCAUCUGCUUUAUUGAGAAGGAAAUGCAAAUUGGUGACUGGGGGCACUGACAACCAUUUGUUGAUGUGGGAUCUGACUACUUGAGGCUUAAGUGUGCUCUUGAAUUGGCUGCUGUUUACUGCUUUUGUUGCCAUCCUCCCUCUUGUCUUUGGAGCCUUUGUGUCUGGUAGUUCUCUUUUCCCAAGUUGCCUGGAGCCCUGCUCUCAUUCCUCUGCUCUGGAAGUUCAGUCUGCUGCUUUCUGUCUUGCGUGCUAUGCUUGCCUGUCACCUGGUGUGCCCUAUGGUGGUUCCAUGGUAUGCAGUCAUGGCUGCUCUCCUGACCAGGUCUUUGUUUUCCUCUUGCUGCCUGCUUUGGAGUUUUGGCUUCCAAUUGGUCUAUUGGAUGCCUCCUGCUUUUGGGUGUUCUUUCUUCUUGGGAUGUUGGGUUUCCUGCUGUCUUUUUUGGUUUUGGGAUGACUGUCUGUUGCUGAUUUAUUUGGCUUGCUUUGGUCUUCUUUUUCCUUUCCUUUGGCUUGCUUUCUCUUGAUCCUAUCUUUGGCCUGCUUUUGAUGGUUUUCAAGAGAGAAGCAAGUUUGUCUUGUUGGUCAUAUUGUUCUCCGCUGUCUUUGCCACUUGUGGUUUAGGCGAGGUUUGAUUGUACGAGUCUCUUUGCCCUCUUUGUCUAUACAUACUUAAUAAUUAAAAAAAGAAAUAGGCAUUGCCAAGUAGUGCCAUUCUUGCGAGUGUUA